ensembl:lncRNA
GGAAUUUGGCACAGAAUGCUCUCUGUCCGCUUGAGAGCAGGUUGGUCACAGCUCUGCUGACAUGGCUUUGGUAUCAGAUGGUCUCUAACCAACGUAGCUUCACUAGGAAGAAUUUCUAGCGUGGUUGUGUUUACGACGACAAGCCGAUGCUUGUCUUGGAGUAGGUUAUUUCACUUGAGAAAGGGAGACAAGCUGGAGUAAAUGUUGCUCUCCAUGGGAAGAUGCAGCUUCCAGCUGCAGGAAGGGAAGAGUAAAGACACUUCUUAUUUUCCAAUUUUCCAGUAGGAGUGAAAAAUGCUGCCUGAUAGCUGUGGAGAUUGAAGGUUUCUAGUUGUUCACAGAAUGUGUGUAGCCUGGGUAGUAUUCACUUCCCGCUCUACAGCGUCCCAUUCCUCCCUGGCUUAGCAUGCCGGGUUGAUUCCAUCCCUGAUCUCUUCUCAAAGCCCUUUAUUUCGGGUGUUCUCUGCAAUUGGGGCGAUUACUGCCCAGUGCAGAGGGCAGCAGCUCUGUGAGCAGUGCGAGCCACAAACCCAUCUCGGCCGCACAGAGCGCCCAUCAGCCCUGGCACUGUCAGGGUAUGGGGGACGGGGGGCAUCUGUGUGUCAUGUGUGGGGUGACGGGCGCUAUUGCUGUCCUCACAGCCACAGGUCCAGAAGGGGAGGGCACCGUGGCUGCACUCAGGGCCUGACACUCCUGCCAGAAUCCCAGAAGGUGAAAAGCGUUUGCACUGUUCAUCUUCUUACUGUCACUUUGGAGGUUACCUUCAUUUCUUGACACAGAUCCAUACUGUAUUUUUGCAGAGAUACAGUUUUCUCCCGGUUGCCCUUUUUCCUCUCUUUGUAAUCCCUGGUUGGGAGUGAGAGUGGUCUGACAGAUCUCUGUGACUGAUAAGAGAAAUGAUUGCCUAAGUGAGAAUUGUUUCUGGAGCACAUUCCUCCCCUUGGGUUAAAUAUAGGUUGCGGCAUCCCAGCAUAAUGAAAAGAUCGGGAAGCAUUUACACGCUGCUAUAGUUGAUGCCUUGUAAUAAUUGAGUAAAACAUUCACAAUUGUGAAAAUCACACCUGUAAAGAUGAGCUUAGUCACUUUUCUGUUAAUGAGUCUGUAUUUUCAGUCAGCCUCUCCCUUACCGCAUUCAGCACAUGCACUAAAACAUAUCCCAGCUCAACCCAAUCCUUCAGCCUUUGUGUUUUAUCGCCUUGUGAUUUGCUGUUGGCUGCAGCAGCCUGGUUUAUUACCAUACCGUGUGCACUGCAGUACUCGCAGAGCGUUGUGCUGCAGGAUUGCUCAGCGUGCUGGACCAGGGAUGUCCAAUCCUUUUGAUUGUAAAAAACGAAAGCAAAUCUGGAGAGGUUCAACCACUGUGAAAAACUAGAGCCGUGUUGGAGCGCUGUCACAGAGACAUAACUCAGAACGCAUCAACAGUUGUUGUCAACUCUUCACUUUGUAACCUGAAAUCAUCUGCGAUGCUGGGAUGCAAAUCUUUAGGUUCGGAAAGUGGCUGAAAGCUGAGCUGUAAAAAUAAAGCCUGAGAAACAUUUCUAAUUCCGACACAGUCUCCAUGUCUUUUCUACAUACGCACAUGUAUGCACAUGCAUUCCCAAGCUGGCAUAUAAGCCCACGAGCUCACACGUACCUUCGCGGGCACCCUCAGGCAGAACGUGUUCUGCAGCAUGGAUGGCACACGGGGUAUUUCUGAAGGCAGAACCAGAAGACUGCAAAUCCACACUUCCACCCACUAAUGAAAAAAAAAAGCCAAGAAAACCUCAGUAGAGAUUGAGUUUUAUAAUUAAUGCUGAACAAUUUUCAUUGACAAAGCAAAACGAAGCAAGUGGAAGGCUGAUUUAAAUGCUGAAUGAUUAACGCGUGGCGAGGCGGCUGAGGAAAGAGACAAAUUCGGGAGCAGCUAUGGAAAUUUAUGUAUGAGAGAGUCAGCACCAUAUUCUGAUCUCAGUUACACAGUUGUAAAUCUGUUAUCUUAAUGGAAGUAUUCGGCUCUUAUAUUUGCAUACCAAUGCAGACCCACCGCCUCACAGAAAUCUCCUCGCUGUCAUGAAGGCUUACAUACAAAUUCUGCACAAACGAACAGAAAGCGGAACCUGGGAAUGAUGGAAAGGCAAAUUGAAUUCAGAUUUGAAUUUUGUAUUUGAUGCCUGUAUACAAUGGGGAUGAGUGCACUGAGAAGCAAUGCACAGAUAGGCAGACGGAUCUCCUGCCCGUGCUCCUAUUUUAAAGACCCAUUCAUUUUGCACCUGAAGGAUGAAUUCUUCCUCCCACUCUCCUCCUUCCUCUCAUCUUCUAUGAUUUGCGUGAUCUUUGCUGCAUACCUUACAAACCACUGUUGACCUUCGCCCAGGGCUUCAAGGCAAUUUCCCAAAUAAAUUUCACCGGAUCGAUAAACUCCCAUUCUGUUUUCUUUCCUAAACUGAGGGAAAGGGGGAAAAAAAUGAGAAAAAGUAAAUGUUUUCUUUUUAGCCAAAUGGAACAGAAAUCCGAGUUUAACAGAGGUACCCAUCUCAGAAUUCUGAGGGUGCACACGGAAGCCCUGUAAUUCAGCUGGUUUGUAUUAUCAUUUUGCUUUCCCUUUCCGAAAAAGUACGCAUUUGGAGCCCUGAAAAAUGGCAUGAACUGUUUUGAACCCCUUGAAAGGUGCCCAUACAAGGCAUCACACAGCUGUCCUUCGUGACUGUUAAAUAUUUAUCAGCAAGGCAAAUUCCU